rnacentral:pre_miRNA from 1 species
AAAUGGGCAAAUUAGUCCCUUAAUGCUAGAUCAAAGAGCAAACUAGUUCUUUAGUUAAAAAUUCCAUCCAACGUGUCACUCUACGACAGUUUUAAACCGUGCAAAUGGAUGACAGUUUUAAUAGAAAGAACUAAUUUGCUCUUUGAUUUAACGUAUAGGGACUAAUUUGCUUAUU